rnacentral:rRNA from 1 species
CCUACGGGUGGCUGCAGUGGGGAAUAUUGGACAAUGGGGGGAACCCUGAUCCAGCCAUGCCGCGUGUGUGAAGAAGGCCCUCGGGUUGUAAAGCACUUUCAGUGAGGAAGAACGCCUGGUGGUUAAUACCCAUCAGGAAAGACAUCACUCACAGAAGAAGCACCGGCUAACUCCGUGCCAGCAGCCGCGGUAAUACGGAGGGUGCGAGCGUUAAUCGGAAUUACUGGGCGUAAAGCGCGCGUAGGUGGCUUGAUAAGCCGGUUGUGAAAGCCCCGGGCUCAACCUGGGAACGGCAUCCGGAACUGUCAAGCUAGAGUGCAGGGGAGGAAGGUAGAAUUCCCGGUGUAGCGGUGAAAUGCGUAGAGAUCGGGAGGAAUACCAGUGGCGAAGGCGGCCUUCUGGACUGACACUGACACUGAGGUGCGAAAGCGUGGGUAGCAAACAGGAUGAGAUACCCUUGUAGUC